rnacentral:rRNA from 1 species
AACGAACGCUGGCGGCAUGCCUAACACAUGCAAGUCGAACGGGACCUUCGGGUCUAGUGGCGCACGGGUGCGUAACGCGUGGGAACCUGCCCUUAGGUUCGGAACAACUCCCCGAAGGGUGUGCUAAUACCGGUUGAUGUCUUCGGACCAAAGAUUUAUCGCCUUUGGAUGGGCCCGCGUUGGAUUAGCUAGUUGGUAGGGUAAAAGCCUACCAAGGCGACGAUCCAUAGCUGGUCUGAGAGGAUGAUCAGCCGCACUGGGACUGAGACACGGCCCAGACUCCUACGGAAGGCAGCAGUGGGGAAUAUUGGACAAUGGGCGAAAGCCUGAUCCCGCAACGCCGCGUGAGUGAUGAAGGCCUUAGGGUUGUAAAGCUCUUUUACCCGGGAUGAUAAUGACAGUACCGGGAGAAUAAGCUCCGGCUAACUCCGUG